UUUACUCCCUCCUGGCCGCCGCCGCCGUCUCCUCCUCUUCCUCCUCUCUCCCGUAGCAGAUCCACCUCCCCUUCCUUUUAUUCAUCCUCCACGCGACCAUCGACGAUGUGUGGUUCUAGAUCGGACGUCUCCAUGGAGAGCAGGGAUGAAGAAGCAGGAGAGGCCUGCGGUGGGGCGACCCGAACCGAGGAGAACUCGGCGACAGGGAAAAGAAGCAGCAGUGACAGCGCUUGUCUCGGUGGGGUGGAGCUGCUCGGAAGAUGGAAGGGGACUGUCGACUUGCGGGAGGAGCAGGUGAGUCCGGCCCUUGUUCGCGCUAGAGACACUUCCGACGCCGCAAGCCAGGGCAGCUCGACCAUAGAAGCCCGUAGGAGCAGUAAACCAUGGAGGAUUUGGAGGCUGCUCAUGUUUGUAACAGUAAACCAUGGAGGAUAUGGGGGAUGCAUGACCUUAGAGCAGCAAACCAUGUCAGCCAAGGUAAAUAAGCAACUCACAGUCAUACUGCUCAAAACAUGGAUGUUUGGGAAAAUUUUUCUUAAGAUCUAUAUGAUUUUUGUCUGAAUAGUUAAAGUAUUUCUUUGGACUACUUUGAUUCUCUGAAAAAAUUGUGAGAAGUAAGAUGGUUGGCUUCUCAUGUAGAACUCAAUUUACAGUUACUAUGAUUUUUUAAUUGCCACUAUUUUUCCUUUUCAAUUUUAUAACAAGAUAUGUGCUUUUAUCAGGUUUACACAAAAAAGAUUCAGGAAAUCUAGAUUGGGGGAGCAACAAAAAGCUUCAAAUGUGUAAACUAAUAUAUACGUUACAUAACUUUUUUGUGUUUGCAGCAUAGUCUAGAAAUUUAGUGUAGAGAAACUAAAAUAGUUCAAGAUAAAAAGGUUGUUGUACAAAACGAAUUGUUUGUCCCCGUUUAUCUUGUCAUUUUGUUACAAAUGAAAACAUAGUCGGGAAAAAUCAUGGAACGGUUUCUGUCAUGAAGCAUGAGAAUGAUAGUACCUGAAAUUGCGAGAGCUGGCCUUCUAUCUUUUUUCACAAGUACUCUGUUUUUCGUAGCUAAUAAUGAUGGUUGCAGCUUAUAAUUGCUGAACUAUCCGGCGUGGUGUGGGCAUGUUGUAAUUACAUCCUUUGAUAUUUCUAUGCAAUAUUUGGUUCAUUUGGUAUUCAUAAAUUCAUUUAUGUCCAGUAGGAAGGAAGAUGCAUGAAGUUCCUAUUUUCUUGGGUGACCUCAGUUUCCUAAUGAUAUCUUCAUAGCAUACAGAUGGUUGCCAAUUAGCUUAUAUCAGUUUCCUAAUAAUAUCUUCAUAGCAUACUUUUUUGGGAUAAUGGUGACCAAAACGCCCCGGUUUCUCUAAUUUGUAGGAAUGAAAAUCUUGAAUUGCUUUUGAUGGAUUUCUCACUCAUCAAAAUAAAGCCACCAGCCUACACAUAGAGGUUGAUUAAUCACUCUGGCCAGUCGUUCUGUUUUUCUAUGUUGCGGAAUAGGAAUGUCGUAUGAUCAUUUAUUUCCUCUGCGUCAUUUUAAGUUCUACACCUUAUCUCUUAUUAUGAUAAAUCAUCAAUAUCAUACGUCUGUUACUCUUCCUGAUUCUACAUAUUGUUUUCAGUCAUAGAUUUAGAGUUUUUUUUUCAUGUUCUUGCAAAGCAGAGGUGUUUAAAAAACUAUAGCUAUUUUACUGCUUUUUGGAUGGUAUGAAAUGCUUAUACUAAAUUUCACAAGUAUGUUCAUGUCUUUCUAUAUUUAUACAAUGUAUGUUGUGUUGCUCAAUGCUCACUACCUCUGGUAUUAAUCUCUCUUGCAUUCCUUUACUAAUACUUUUAUCUUGUGCUUCUAAAUACUACAAUCUGAUCAAAGCCUUACGCCUCUGCAAAAUGGCGAGGUCUUCGUGGCACUAAAAUCUGGUAUUUACCUCCGUUUUCUGCCGUCAACUGUUAAUGAAAGUAGUACGAUGCCUAAUUUUGCCUUCUGUCGAUUUUUUUCUUAAGGUAACUCUAAACUUAGGUUGAUGCCUUCGCUAACUUUAAUUUUGUGUCCUGAUGCUAUGGCCUAAUUUUUUCUAUUGUCCUUGAGCACCCCGUAGCUAAUAUAAUGUGAAUAGGAGUUUAGUUUGCUACUUAUACAACAAUAGAUCCAUUUUUGUAGCUGCCAGAUAUUAUUCUUCCUGUCCCAAAGUGAAAGCAUGGUUUCUCAUGUUAAAACCCCAAGAUAUUGUAUAGUAUCUGAUGACCAUCAUCACAAUAUUGACAAAGGAUCAGUAAUUGAUUUCUUUUUUUGAGAAAAAGCCCUGCGCUUAUAGAUUAUCAGGGUUCAGGUUACAGUCAUUUGAAACGAACUGUCUCAGCACGUAAGGAACAUUAGCGAUCAGUAGACUGUCUCCAUGAGCUCUUGCAUAGUCAGCCAGUUUGUGAGCCAAAACAUUGCGUUCUCGAUUCAUUGCCGAGGCUGACGCCGAUGCAAAGGAAUCCAUCAUAUCUUUCACAUCCGAAAUGAGUGGGAACAAGGCCGACUUGUCCUGUGAUUUAGGUUGGAGCAGGUUUGAGACCGCAACGCAGUCUGUCAUGCAGAUGGCGCCUCUCUAUACUUUCUGCAGUUCCAACAACCCCACCUGUAUGGUCGUUAACUCUGCCUCAUCAACAUUCUUGAAUGGGAGUACUCGCCUACAAAUUGACAGUGCCACAGCCCCGGUCUGACCUCUGACCACAACACCCACGCUGUUAUGCCCCGUUUCAGCACUAAAAGAAGCAUCUGCAUUCACUUUCCAUACGCCAGCCCCGGGUGGCUUCCACUGGUUGGUUUUAACGUGUUGCACCUCAUGCAAAGGAUCAGCUAUAGCCGACCAGAUAUUCUUCCCUCUUUCAUCAUUUUUCUCCCAAUGGCUUCCCUUAAAAUCCUUCCAGUAAUUAUGUAGAAAGGCGACAGUCAAGACAUGAGCUAUCCAGUGUAGGUUCAAACAAUUCAUUCAUUCAUUGCAGGUUCGGCAUGUCUCAUUAUGUCUUUUUGCUUCAUAUUCAGGGUCAAACUGGGCUAUAUUUAUUUCAUUGAGGCGAGGGUGAUUCCAGCAGAUUUUGCUUGGCGUACUCGCCUUUUUUCUUGAAGUUGGGCGUCGUCUCUGCGGCAAGGUUUCUGGUAGAAUUACUAGAAGUAGCGGAUCUACUUUUAUUUGCUGUCCUAGCUUGCCAUCAACUUAUGCCAACGACGCAAGGUAUGAUGUUUGAUUAAUAGCUAUUCUUAGAGGAUGGAUCCAAAUAUUGUUUAAUUUGCCGGUUCUAUACUUGGUUGCAAUUUUUUACUGAAUGAAUGGCUCACUUUUUUUUGGAAAAGGAGGUUAAAACCCCCGGCCUCUGCAUCAAUCGAUGCAUACAAUCAUCACAUUGUUACGUCUCCUAACAUAUAUGUACAUUUUCUUAAGCCUUAAAGUGUAGUUAGCACAACAUACAGACACACUUUGGUCGUGGGAUUAGCUUUCUCAUUAAAUUAUUUAAAUUGGUAGCUCAGAAACUAACUCUGUAGGUCUAUUAAAUCUUCUGUAGACCCACAUAUUUGAUAUUACCUGAAAAAUAAGGAGGUUACCUUUUCCUUUUAAUACCUGGAACCAAAUUGUUUGAUACCAAUUGUAUCUGGGCGCAGUUUCAUACAAGAUACAGCUUAGUAGCAAAAAAAUUUGCCCUCUAUCUUAUUUCUCCAUACAUUGGAUUCAUAUUUGUUCCAAAUUUACAUCAAGAAGCCUCUAGGCAUUUGUACUUUCAGAAUCAUUCUGAAACUGUGGUUCAGAGCAGAGAGCAUUUAAUAAGGAUGGUUCUAUUUCUGAAUCUUGCUCUAAUACCUAAAAGGUGAAAUUGGGCAUGAUUUUGAUAUUUGUUUUACAAGAUAUUACAUCGAUUUUCUGGUUUGGGCAUACUUAUAAUUGUUUUCUUCAGACUACAUCUUAGCAUGCACUUUUGUAGACUAUUCUUGAUUAGAAGAUGUAUAUGAAUGUGAGCAACAGAGUUCUUUACUCCUAGAAAUUGCACACGCCAAUGAAAUUCAUGUAUCCCUUGAUAAGUCUCUCAGCAUUUUGCUUUCGUUCGUAGAAUUAAAAUUUGCCAUCAAACAAACAAAUAGUUGUGUUACUAAGUUUAUUCUGUAAUUUGCAUGACAGUUUUGCAUAGGCUUGGUUUGUUCUGACAAAAGGUUGUUUCACACAACAUUAGAAUUUUAGUUUCUCCAUAGCUUUGGUUCAGUGGUAGCUUUAGCCUUUUUACAUGUGUGAGUAGGUGUUUCUUUCCAUUGACAUUAGAACAAAAUAGGUCAUGACAUGUUAAAUUAUUAAUAAUGGUCCAGAUUCAAAAAGAGUCUAUGAUGUAGAGAUUAAUAUGCUUAUAAAAUUCCCUCCUUUCUCAUUAUAAGUUACCUUUUUAUUCUGAGCUGGGUUCUAAGUGUAAAGCUAAUUGGUUUUCUGAAAACACUGCAUCUAUAGUAUAUAUCUACACCAGAUAGAUUGUUCAUUUGUUUCUUAGAAAAGAGUUAUUUUAGCUAAUCUUUGGUACCGAUGGAAUAUGCAGUGAUUACUCCCAUAACCUAUGAUAAAGUAAUAUAAUUACCAUUUUCGGUCAACUUUCCAACACAUUAUGUCCAUGCAGUAACUAACAUUGUGUAUUUUUACACAGAUUUGUUCAUCGCAUGAAGCAAGGAAUUGAGGCGGCCAUCCACUUCAUAUUGUUAACUGGAUGGUGUCGCAGUAUGCUUUAUGAAAGCAACCUAAAUAAAUUGUUGUAAAUAACCCUAAGGAUUUUCUUUACCUUGAACUAUCUUUAAUCCUUUCUUCUUGCUUCACUUGAUGCUUUUGGACUUCAUGCUGCCAUUGACCGGAAUGUAAAACGUUAUAUUUCUGAAUGCGCUGUGUAUGAGAUCUCUGAU